rnacentral:lncRNA from 1 species
CAUUAUUACAUCAAGCAAUUUAGAACCAUGGGGAUUGUAAGUGCUAUGAUGGAAACGCUCUUAGGCAUCCUCUCAGCCACAGAUUUACCUGGAAAACAAGACAACUGGGACACAGAGAAAAGUACUUCAACAAAGCCAGCAUUUUGUACCUUGCUCAGCCACAAGGAGAAUGGAUUGGUUUCAUCCCUUUCACACCAGAUGACCCUGCACUAAGAGGCUGGUAUGAUUCCAGAGAGAAACCUGGAAGCAAAGCAACCUAGAGCUCUCUGGCGAUAUAUGCUCUGUUUUCAGUAAAAUUAGUUGAAACGUGUUGGGGUGUUUUCUUCUAAAAUUUCCAUUUUAUCUCUUUGCUUGUACUUAGGAAAAUAUUGCUUAUGAGUCCUUUGUAAAUUAGAGGAAAAGAAGCAUAUUGAAAUAGAAAAAGAUAAAAUUCACCCUUAUCGCUCUUCUUCAUGUUCCACACACCUUCAAGUACUGUUUCUAUGUAGAUAAUACCCAUAAAUACCCCCAGCUCUGACUUUUCCCUCAAGUGUUUACUGAGCUAUCUACUUCGAUAUUACAAAUCUUCACUCCACUGUUUCCAAACCU